UGGGACUGCCGGUGACAAACCGGAGGAAGUGGGGAUGACGUCAAGUCCUCAUGGCCCUUAUAGUGGGCUACACACGUCAUACAAUGGCCGGUACAGAGGGUAGCCAACCCGCGAGGGGAGCCAAUCCCACAAAGCCGGUCGUAGUCCGGAUCGCAGUCUGCAACUCGACUGCGUGAAGUCGGAAUCGCUAGUAAUCGCGGAUCAGCAUGUCCGCGGUGAAUACGUUCCCGGGUCCUU
rnacentral:rRNA from 1 species